ensembl:lncRNA
GUGUAUAUAUCUGUGAACAGAGCUCUCCUGUCAGAGACACUCUUUCCUGAUCACAUCUGAAACCUACAGCCUUAAAAAAUAAACAGGACGCGCGGUCACGAGAAUGUUUAGCAGAAGGCUGCUUAUCAUCGUCUGUCUUCAUCUCUGUGCAGGCAUUGGACAAAAUGAAGCGUGUGAACUGGCUGAAUGUUUCAACUGUUCUCAACCUCUAGGUAGAAAUAAAGCACAAGGCAGAGUCUAGAGAACCUGCUCAAUAUAUUUUACAUUCAAUUUUGUAAAUAACCUGAUUAUAUUUCUUCGUUCUAGCCCAAGCAUGUCCACUGUGCCAGUCCACGUCAAAUACCUGCACCAAUGGUCGGUUACAUUUUAUUUUUUUAUUUUUUUUGAUUCUGAAUUUAGACUGCAUUAAAAUGCUCAUUUCAUAUUUGCGUGUACAAAAAUUAGUGAAGAAAUUCUAGUUUAGGAGAAAGAAAAGUUGUGUGAUCAACAGCAAAUGCUAUGAAAUACAAAAAUAAAUUAUGAUUUUUAAUCACACGUCUGAGAUGUAAACACAAAUAAAAAAGAAUUGCAACAUAUAAACUUAGAAUUGAAAGAUAUAAAUUCAAAAUUCAGAUUAUUUUUAUUGCAAUUCUGGGAGAGAUUUUAAAUCUUACAUUUCUGUUUUUUUUUUUUCCCACCAAGGAAUAAAAAAUAAGUUUAUAUCACGCAAUUUAAUUUUUUUACUCAGAAAAGUCUGAACUGUGAGAUAGAGUUGCAAUUACUUUAUUUUUUUAUUUAUUUUUUUUAUCCUGUGGUGGAAACAAGCUUCCAUAAUCAGAAAUGUCUGAAAGAAUAAAAAAUACAAAAUAUAUAAUGACAAAAAUAAUUACGUUUUUGAGAAUGCAUUAAAUCUGUUCCCAUUCUCCUUUUCCCCAGAUAUUCUGCCAAAUUGCACGAAAAAAGAUUUUAAUGUGACCAUAAAACCCACUUCCACUAAAGUUCAAGAGGGUGUGACCGUGAUUCUUAACUGCACUCAUAACGUUCCCAAUGGCUCCAUUAGCUGGCUAAAGGACAAUGUAUUACAAGAAAACGAAAAUAAAGAAAUAUUUCAAAUCAAGUACAUUCAAAAAACCGCAGUGAUCAACUGCCAGGUUACAAGUAGUUGUGGGAACUACAACGAUACUAUAACAAUUGAAGUAGAAGCUGCUAAUAAUUUGGUGGUUUUACUGAUUUGUGUCGGAGCAGCAGCUGCUCUCCUCAUGCUGUUUGCAAUAGUCAUGAAGAUCGCACUCAAGAGAGGACAAGGUACAUUUAUAACCUUCUGCAAUUAAACAGACGCAUGUUGUCCUGUAUUUCAUAGCAUCUCUCUCUCUCUCUCUUUCAGCUCAGAGUCAGGCCAGGAAAAGACAAAGACAGCAGAACCUGGAGAACAUCCACAGCUCUGUGAACACCGUCACCAGCUACUACUGAGAGAGAGCGCUUCUGCAGCCCAAGCUCCUGAUUCAGAGACCUUUCAGUUCUACACUCCAAAUAUAUUUAGACCUAAAUUUAUGAACUGCAUAUACAAUUUCCGUCCAUCUGGAUUAUACAAUUUUAACAUAAACUAAUAAUUGAGCUUUUAACGUGAACUCUAUGAACUUUAUAUGCGAUUCAAAUCAGUUUUGCUCACAUGUUAUUAUUAAAUGAUAUGGUGUAAAGUUGACUCGCUGGAUAGAUGGCAAUGGAAUGGGGUGUUUUUUUGACUUGUUAGGUCAUCCUAAAAACACAUGCGGAAAUGAAUAAUGUGAAAUACAGUGGUCGCCUACAGUAAUCAGUGAAAACAGCAAACGAAGGAAGAUUCGUCUUUGCACCGUUUUGUGAGCAAACACUUUACAAUAAGGUUCCAAUUGUUAAUAUUAGUUAACUACAUAAACAAACAAGGAAAAAUACUUCUAAAGCAUUUAUUAGUCUUAAAUUAUGUUGAUUCCAACAUUUACUAAUACAAUAUUAACAUUAACAAGAGUUAUCUAUUAAUGUUAUUGAAUGGACCUGAGCUACCUGAACAAUGAACAGUAAACAAAGAUUAAUAAAUACUGUAAUAAUGUAUUGCUCA